rnacentral:rRNA from 1 species
CAGUCGCCGCGGUAAUACGAAGGGGGCUAGCGUUGUUCGGAUUUACUGGGCGUAAAGGGCGCGUAGGCGGGCUGAUAAGUCAGGGGUGAAAUCCCAAGGCUCAACCUUGGAACUGCCUUUGAUACUGUUUGUCUUGAGUUCGAGAGAGGUAAGUGGAACUGCGAGUGUAGAGGUGAAAUUCGUAGAUAUUCGCAAGAACACCAGUGGCGAAGGCGGCGACCUGGGCCAUUACUGACGCUCAUGCACGAAAGCGUGGGGAGCAAACAGGAUUAGAUACCCCCGUAGUCCCUGUCUCUUAUAC